AAAGAAAGACACGAGAAUCAUUUGGUCACUGCUGAAGCACCUGUAGCACCACUGCAGGGCUGGACAUUGCUGGAAUCAACAGCUACUUUAGGAAUCAUGACCUUCAGGAUAUGCACUUCUUGAAAAGUCCUACUGAAGUCAGAAGAAUGUUGACCUGGCUGUUGUCUUUCUCAACACUGUGUUCGGUUGAAACCCAUGAAGCACCUGUACCUUGGAGGUUAAGAAAUUCU